rnacentral:rRNA from 1 species
CCUACGGGAGGCAGCAGUGGGGAAUAUUGCACAAUGGGCGAAAGCCUGAUGCAGCAACGCCGCGUGAGCGAUGAAGUCCUUCGGGUCGUAAAGCUCUGUCCUCAAGGAAGAUAAUGACGGUACCUGAGGAGGAAGCCCCGGCUAACUACGUGCCAGCAGCCGCGGUAAUACGUAGGGGGCUAGCGUUAUCCGGAUUUACUGGGCGUAAGGGGUGCGUAGGUGGGUUGCUAAGUCAGAGGUGAAAGGCUACGGCUAAACCGUAGUAAGCCUUGGAAACUGGGGAACUUGAGUGCAGGAGAGGAGAGUGGAAUUCCUAGUGUAGCGGUGAAAUGCGUAGAUAUUAGGAGGAACACCAGUUGCGAAGGCGGCUUUCUGGACUGUAACUGACGCUGAGGCACGAAAGCGUGGGGAGCAAACAGGAUUAGAUACCCGGGUAGUC